rnacentral:tRNA from 1 species
GGUCUCGUAGCUCAGUCGGCAGAGAGUGUGGCUGUUCACAACAAAGUCGCGAGUUCGAUCCCUGCCGGAACCG